GUCCCCGUAGUUCAAUGGAUAGAACGCGAGAUUCCGGAUCUCGAAGUUGAGCGUUCGAAUCGCUCCGGGGACA
rnacentral:tRNA from 1 species